rnacentral:rRNA from 1 species
AGUGAACGCUGGCGGUAGGCCUAACACAUGCAAGUCGAACGGCAGCACAGUAAGAGCUUGCUCUUACGGGUGGCGAGUGGCGGACGGGUGAGGAAUACAUCGGAAUCUACUUUUUCGUGGGGGAUAACGUAGGGAAACUUACGCUAAUACCGCAUACGACCUACGGGUGAAAGCAGGGGAUCUUCGGACCUUGCGCGAUUGAAUGAGCCGAUGUCGGAUUAGCCAGUUGGCGGGGUAAAGGCCCACCAAGGCGACGAUCCGUAGCUGGUCUGAGAGGAUGAUCAGCCACACUGGAACUGAGACACGGUCCAGACUCCUACGGGAGGCAGCAGUGGGGAAUAUUGGACAAUGGGAGCAAGCCUGAUCCAGCCAUACCGCGUGGGUGAAGAAGGCCUUCGGGUUGUAAAGCCCUUUUGUUGGGAAAGAAAAGCAGCAGGUUAAUACCCCGCUGUUCUGACGGUACCCAAAGAAUAAGCACCGGCUAACUUCGUG